UGUAUAAUGUGUGAAUGUAAGAAUGAAGCAGGGAUUUACCAUUAUAUAUAUUUUAAAUGUUUCUCAUUAAUCAACAAUAACUAAACGUAUUUGUUGUAUUGUUAUUGCUGUCAUUUGAUUAGUCUGCAGAGUGUGUAUAUAUGUUUCAUUUAUUCGUGCAGAUGUAGGUGUAUUGCUCGUGAAGCUGUCGGUGUGUACUGACUAUACCCAGGUCCACACACUUGGGUUUUUUACAUGAACUACCAGAAAUAAAGAGCCAUAAUGCGAA